UUAAGAUACUAAGAGCAUACGGUGGAUGCCUUGGCGAUAUCUGCCGACGAAGGACGUGACAAGCUGCGAAAAGCUGCGGAGAGAUGCAAAUAAUCGGCGACCCGCAGACAUCCGAAUGGAGCAAUCCGGCUGUGAUGAUGCACAGCCAUCCAUGCCCAAGAGCAUGAGAAGGGAACCGGGCGAACUGAAACAUCUAAGUAGCCCGAGGAAAAGAAAUCAAACGAGAUACCCCAAGUAGCGGCGAGCGAACAGGGAAGAAGCCCAAACCGGUGAAGGAAACUUUACCGGGGUUGAGGACCAUCAGACCCGCGAAGAACCUUAGCCGAAACUGUUGGGAAACAGUGCCGAAGACAGUGAAAGCCUGGUAGGCGAAAAAGAGAAACGCGGAGAUGGCACCAGAGUACCGCGGGACACGAGAAAUCCCGUGGGAAGCAGGGGGGACCACCCUCCAAGGCAAAACACAGAUAUCGACCGAUAGCGCAUAGUACCAUGAGGGAAAGGUGAAAAGCACCCCGGGAGGGGAAUGAAAGAGAACCUGAAACCGUAUGUUUACAAGCAGUCGGAGACCGCUUAAUAAUAAGGUCGACGGCGUGCCUAUUGAAGAAUGAACCGGCGAGUUACGAAGCCUGGCAAGGUUAAGCAGGAAAUGCGGAGCCGAAGCGAAAGCGAGUCUUAAGAGGGCGCAAGUCAGGAAGCGUAGACCCGAAACCACAGUGAUCUACCCAUGUCCAGGUUGAAACACAGGUAAAAAUGUGUGGAGGACCGAACCUAUAUCCGUUGAAAAGGGUUAGGAUGAGGUGUGGGUAGGGGUGAAAUUCCAAUCGAACGUGGAGAUAGCUGGUUCUCCCCGAAAUAGCUUUAGGGCUAGCCUCAGGGAAAAGAUUGCAGGCGGUAGAGCACUGAUCAGGAGAGGGACCUACCCGGUUACCAAACCCAGUCAAACUCCGAAUGGCUGCAAUCAUACCUGGGAGUCAGACUGCGACUAAUAAGGGCCGCAGUCAAAAGGGAAACAGCCCAGACCAUCAGCUAAGGUCCCUAAUGCCGUGCUAAGUGGCAAAGGAUGUGGCAUUUCAUAAACAACCAGGAUGUUGGCUCAGAAGCAGCCACCAUUUAAAGAGUGCGUAAUAGCUCACUGGUCGAGAGACGCUGCGCCGAAAAUGUCCGGGGCUCAAGCACGGAACCGAAGCUAUGGCAUGAUAGCAAUAUCAUGGGUAGGGGAGCGUUCUUAUAAGGAAGAAGCAUGACCGGAAGGACAUGUGGACAAAUAAGAAGUGAGAAUGCCGGUAUGAGUAUCGAAAAGAAAGGUGAGAAUCCUUUCCACCGAAAGCCCGAGGGUUCCUGAGCAACGAUCGUCGACUCAGGGUAAGUCGGGACCUAAGCCGAGGCGAAAAGCGUAGGCGAUGGACAACAGGUUGAAAUUCCUGUACCGGAUCAAGUCGAUUGAGCGAAGGAGCGACGCAGGAGGGCACAUGAUCGCGCGGCUGGAAGAGCGCGUCCAAGUGCGUAUGUUGCAGCAGAGGAAAACCCCUGCAGCUAAAAGCAGAGACAUGAUGGGGAGUUAAAGGAAACUUUGACGAACUCAUGGAUCCCACACUGCCAAGAAAAACUUCUAGCGAGACAAGAUCCGCCCGUACCGUAAACCGACACAGGUAGGCGGGGAGAGAAUCCUAAGGUGCGCGGGAAAACCCUCGUUAAGGAACUCGGCAAAUUGCAUCCGUAACCUAGGGAGAAGGAUGGCCCCCGGUCAGUGAAGAGCAGAAACGCUCAGAGCUAAAAGGGGCGGCAGAAAAGAGGCCCAAGCAACUGUUUACCAAAAACACAGGUGCCUGCGAAAGCGAAAGCUGAAGUAUAGGUGCUGACGCCUGCCCGGUGCCGGAAGGUUAAGGAGAGAAGUUAGCGAAAGCGAAGCAUCGAACUGAAGCCCCGGUGAACGGCGGCCGUAACUAUAACGGUCCUAAGGUAGCGAAAUUCCUUGUCGGGUAAG
rnacentral:rRNA from 1 species